GACGAACGCUGGCGGCGUGCCUAAUACAUGCAAGUCGAGCGGACCGACGGGAGCUUGCUCCCUUAGGUCAGCGGCGGACGGGUGAGUAACACGUGGGUAACCUGCCUGUAAGACUGGGAUAACUCCGGGAAACCGGGGCUAAUACCGGAUGCUUGAUUGAACCGCAUGGUUCAAUCAUAAAAGGUGGCUUUUAGCUACCACUUGCAGAUGGACCCGCGGCGCAUUAGCUAGUUGGUGAGGUAACGGCUCACCAAGGCGACGAUGCGUAGCCGACCUGAGAGGGUGAUCGGCCACACUGGGACUGAGACACGGCCCAGACUCCUACGGGAGGCAGCAGUAGGGAAUCUUCCGCAAUGGACGAAAGUCUGACGGAGCAACGCCGCGUGAGUGAUGAAGGUUUUCGGAUCGUAAAACUCUGUUGUUAGGGAAGAACAAGUACCGUUCGAAUAGGGCGGUACCUUGACGGUACCUAACCAGAAAGCCACGGCUAACUACGUGCCAGCAGCCGCGGUAAUACGUAGGUGGCAAGCGUUGUCCGGAAUUAUUGGGCGUAAAGCGCGCGCAGGCGGUUUCUUAAGUCUGAUGUGAAAGCCCCCGGCUCAACCGGGGAGGGUCAUUGGAAACUGGGGAACUUGAGUGCAGAAGAGGAGAGUGGAAUUCCACGUGUAGCGGUGAAAUGCGUAGAGAUGUGGAGGAACACCAGUGGCGAAGGCGACUCUCUGGU
rnacentral:rRNA from 1 species